rfam:Gorilla gorilla gorilla genomic chromosome, chr5, whole genome shotgun sequence
GCUGGGCAUGGUGGCGGGUGCCUGUAAUCCCAGCUACUCGGGAGGCUGAGAUAGGAGAAUCACUUGAACCCAGGAGGCUGAGGCUGCAGUGAGCCGAGAUCGCGCCACUGCACUCCAGCCUGGGCGACAAAGGGAGACUCCAUCUCAA